rnacentral:rRNA from 1 species
CCAAUAGCGUAUAUUAAAGUUGUUGCAGUUAAAAAGCUCGUAGUUGAAUUUCGGGAUCAGUAGGUCGGUCAUGCCUCUGGUAUGUACUGGUCUCACUGGUUCCUCCUUCCUGAUGAACCGUAAUGCCAUUAAUUUGGUGUUGCGGGGAAACUGGACUGUUACUUUGAAAAAAUUAGAGUGUUUAAAGCAGGCUAACGCUUGAAUACAUUAGCAUGGAAUAAUGAAAUAGGACGUUCGAUCCUAUUUUGUUGGUUUCUAGGAUUGACGUAAUGAUUAAUAGGGAUAGUUGGGGGCAUUAGUAUUCAAUUGUCAGAGGUGAAAUUCUUGGAUUUAUUGAAGACUAACUACUGCGAAAGCAUUUGCCAAGGAUGUUUUCAUUAAUCAAGAACGAAAGUUAGGGGAUCGAAGACGAUCAGAUACCGUCGUAGUCUUAACCAUAAACUAUGCCGACUAGGGAUCGGAUGAUGUUAAUUUUUUAAUGACUCAUUCGGCGCCUUACG